CAGGUCACUCCUACGGGAGGCAGCAGCAGGCCGGUUAAUUUUUACCGCCGGGCCCCGCAAGAUACCAGACAAUCAGACCGACUACCGGAAACACAAGUACGCCCACGAUCCAUAAAGCUUUGGCUAAGGUAUCUACCGAACUUUGGGCGAUUUUGAUGAUUGCAUAAAUGUCUGCAAUCAGAAUCAGUAAUCCGAUAAGUGCACUCAUUUGAUACUCCUUAUUAGUAAUUAUUUACUGCCGACCAAUGCCUUAACCGCACUCACCACAUCCCCCGGCAUCACCACAAUCUUGCUGUUUUCCGAGGCUGACAUCUUCUGUAACGCAUGAAUGUAGCGGUCACCAAGCAGGAAGGUGGCUGAGCUGUUGUUUUCUUUCACCGCCUCGGCAAUCAGGCGUAUGGAUUCAGCGGAGGCUUUGGCUGCUACUUCCUGUGCUUCAGCAUCCCUGCGAGCCGCUUCCAGCCUGGCUUCUGCAUUCAGAAUAAGAGAUUGUUUCUCACCUUCUGCCCGGGUGACGACGGCAACGCGUUCACGUUCUGCCGAUGCUUGCUGCUCCAUCGCGUGUUGCAUGUUGGCUGAAGGUUUGAUGUCCUGAAUCUCCACCGAUUUUACCGU
rnacentral:rRNA from 1 species